AAGUCGUAACAAGGUUUCCGUAGGUGAACCUGCGGAAGGAUCAUUACAGAAGAGGGGAGGGCUUGGUGUGUGGGGUGGGGGGUUAUAAGGGCUUUGCUCAGAAGAGCACUGCUCUAUACUAUACCCUCCUACUCACCCUGCUCGCCCAUAUCAGCACGGGGCGCAUGCUUGGCGUGUGACCCCGAUGUUUACGCUUGUUUGUUUGACAGAGUCACAUACCAAGUUCAACUUUUACAACUUUUAACAAUGGAUCUCUUGGCUCUU
rnacentral:misc_RNA from 1 species